rnacentral:rRNA from 1 species
CCUACGGGAGGCAGCAGUCGGGAAUAUUGCGCAAUGGAGGAAACUCUGACGCAGUGACGCCGCGUAUAGGAAGACGGUUUUCGGAUUGUAAACCAUUGUCGUUAGGGAAGAUAAAAGACUGUACCUAAGGAGGAAGCCCCGGCUAACUACGUGCCAGCAGCCGCGGUAAUACGUAGGGGGCAAGCGUUAUCCGGAUUUACUGGGUGUAAAGGGAGCGGAGACGGGAAGGCAAGGCUGGAGUGAAAGCCCGUGGCCCAACCACGGGACUGCCUUGGAAACUGGGUUGCUGGAGUGCAGGAGGGGUAAGCGGAAUUCCUAGUGUAGCGGUGAAAUGCGUAGAUAUUAGGCGGAACACCGGUGGCGAAGGCGGCUUACUGGACUGUAACUGACGUUGAGGCUCGAAGGCGUGGGGAGCAAACAGGAUUAGAUACCCUUGUAGUC